GACGAACGCUGGCGGCGUGCCUAAUACAUGCAAGUCGAACGAGUGGCGGACGGGUGAGUAAUGUAUGGGGAUCUGCCCGAUAGAGGGGGAUAACUACUCGAAAGAGUGGCUAAUACCGCAUACUAUUGGAGCGGCCGAUAUCGGAUUAGCUAGUUGGUGGGGUAAAGGCUCACCAAGGCAACGAUCCGUAGCUGGUUUGCAAGGAAGACCAGCCACACUGGGACUGAGACACGGCCCAGACUCCUACGGGAGGCAGCAGUGGGGAAUGUUGGACAAUGGGGGAAACCCUGAUCCAGCCAUCCCGCGUGUAUGAGAAGGCCUUCGGGUUGUAAAGUACUUUUGGCAGAGAAGCGGUAUCUGCAGAAUAAGCACCGGCUAACUACGUGCCAGCAGCCGCGUAAUUC
rnacentral:rRNA from 1 species